rnacentral:tRNA from 3 species
AAAGGAUUAGUUAAAUUAUAAUAUAAGAUUGUCAGUCUUAUGUUACUAACCCAGCCUUAGUAUCUUUUA